ACGUAGGGUGCGAGCGUUAAUCGGAAUUACUGGGCGUAAAGCGUGCGCAGGCGGUUUUGUAAGCCAGUCGUGAAAUCCCCGGGCUUAACCUGGGAAUGGCGAUUGGGACUGCAAGGCUGGAGUAUGGCAGAGGGGACUGGAAUUCCUGGUGUAGCAGUGAAAUGCGUAGAUAUCAGGAGGAAUACCGAUGGCGAAGGCAGGUCCCUGGGCUGAUACUGACGCUCAUGCACGAAAGCGUGGGGAGCAAACAGGAUUAGAUACCCUGGUAGUCCACGCCCUAAACGAUGUCGACUGGUUGUUGGGGGUUUGACACCUUCAGUAACGAAGCUAACGCGUGAAGUCGACCGCCUGGGGAGUACGGCCGCAAGGUUA
rnacentral:rRNA from 1 species